GCGGAUAUGGCGGAAUUGGCAGACGCGCCAGAUUUAGGUUCUGGUGGGGAACCCCGUGCAGGUUCAAGUCCUGUUAUCCGCA
rnacentral:tRNA from 1 species